CUUAACUGGACCACAGGAUGCCCAGACUUUUAGCCAAACAUUAUCCUGUGUGUGUCUGGGAGACUGUUUCUGGAUGACAUGGACAUUUGAAUCCAUAGACUGAGUAAAGCAGAUUGCCCUCCCGAAUGGAGGUAGGCCUCAUCUAGUGAGGUGAAGACGUGACUACAAUGAAAAGGCUGAGUAAGAGGGAAUGCGUCCUACCUGACUUGUUUGAGUUGGGAUCAUGGUCUUUCUCAGCCUUCAGACUCGGACUGAAACAGCAGCUCUUCUUGGAUCUCCAGCCUGCCGACUUUCAGCUUGGAACUUAUGCCAUCAGCUCUCAUGGUUCUCAGACCUUCAGACUUGAACUAGAACUACAAACCAGUUUUCCUGGGUCUCCAACUUGUGGACUGCACGUCUUGGGACUUCUCAGCCUCCCUAAUUGUACUUUGCCCUGAACUGGGAGGCAGAAAAUCUAGGAUCUAGCUCUGGUCCUGUCUGCAGAAAGCGAGGAAUAAAAAGUGAUACUCAGCAGGUCAUAUAUCUCUGGUUAUGGCGAUCAGUUCUCUCUGCUAUCAAGGAUUAUGUGAAGAACUUCAUAUUAUCCAAAUAUGGUGUUUCCAUGUGUGCUCCAUCACAGUCAUGGUCACAGAUUUCCAGGUUUUAGGUUCCAGGUUCCUGUGCCAGCCUUCAUUUAGGG
rnacentral:lncRNA from 1 species